rnacentral:rRNA from 1 species
CCUACGGGUGGCAGCAGUGGGGAAUAUUGGACAAUGGGGGCAACCCUGAUCCAGCCAUGCCGCGUGUGUGAAGAAGGCCCUCGGGUUGUAAAGCACUUUCAGUGAGGAAGAACGCCUGGUGGUUAAUACCCAUCAGGAAAGACAUCACUCACAGAAGAAGCACCGGCUAACUCCGUGCCAGCAGCCGCGGUAAUACGGAGGGUGCGAGCGUUAAUCGGAAUUACUGGGCGUAAAGCGCGCGUAGGUGGCUUGAUAAGCCGGUUGUGAAAGCCCCGGGCGCAACCUGGGAACGGCAUCCGGAACUGGCGAGCUAGAGUGCAGGAGAGGAAGGUAGAAUUCCCGGUGUAGCGGUGAAAUGCGUAGAGAUCGGGAGGAAUACCAGUGGCGAAGGCGGCCUUCUGGACUGACACUGACACUGAGGUGCGAAAUCGUGGGUAGCAAACAGGAUUAGAUACCCCAGUAGUC